rnacentral:lncRNA from 1 species
UUCCUUUGCGUUGGAAGUGAGUGGCACCGGUUCCCUUCUUCGUUCUUCAUUCCUGAUUACGUGGGCCAAGUUAGAUGGUUGGAUGAUGGAUUCACAGGCCUUCUUCCAAUUCCAUUCAAUUCUAGCUUGGGUGGGACCUCGGCAGCACCAUCUUACUUCAAUAAUAAGAACAAGGCAUCAGAGGAGCAAUAUGUAAGCGGACAAUUCCUAUUAUGUUGGCCUUCUUCCAGUUCCAUUCAAUUCUAGCUUGGGUGGGACCUCGGCAGCACCAUCUUACUUCACUAAUAAGAACAAGGCAUCAGAGGAGCAAUAUGUAAGCGGACAAGACCUAUUAUGUUUAACCAGAAACAAUGCCCAUCUUUUACAAGUCUGUAUUUUGUUUCUAUUGUAGUGCACAAUUUAUAUCAACUCGAGGAUGACACUCAGCUUUGAUUGGUAAUAAUUUCACAGCUU